GAUGAACGCUGGCGGCGUGCUUAAUACAUGCAAGUCGAGCGAACGGACGAGAAGUUUGCUUUUCUGAUGUUAGCGGCGGACGGGUGAGUAACACGUGGAUAACCUACUUAUAAGACUGGGAUAACUUCGGGAAACCGGAGCUAAUACCGGAUAAUAUUUUGAACCGCAUGGUUCAAAAGUGAAAGACGGUCUUGCUGUCACUUAUAGAUGGAUCUGCGCUGCAUUAGCUAGUUGGUAAGGUAAAGGCUUACCAGGGCAACGAUGCAUAGCCGACCUGAGAGGGUGAUCGGCCACACUGGAACUGAGACGCGGUCCAGACUCCUGCGGGAGGCAGCAGUAGGGAAUCUUCCGCAAUAGGCGAAAGCCUGACGGAACAACGCCGCGUGAGUGAUGAAGAUCUUCGGAUCGUAAAACUCUGUUAUUAGGGAAGAACAGAUGUGUAAGUAACUGUACACAUCUUGACGGUACCUAGUCAGAAAGCCACGGCUAACUACGUG
rnacentral:rRNA from 1 species